UGAAAAUAUUCCAGAUAAUCUAAGAUGGAUCUGCGGUCUGAAAUUUUUUAUUUUGUGUUCAGUUGUUUUUGAUCACAGUGUAAUGUUUACAUUAUCUACUCCAACUGUAGCAGGACAAUAUAACAAUAUACCAGCAUUAUACGAAAAAAUCUACAACAGUUUUUUUAGCCAAUCACUCACUCAUUUAGAAACAUUUUUGUUUGUGAGCGGAUUUCUGACGUGCUACUUACGUAAGAAAAAGGGAAAUCGUUCAAAAAUGGAGUACAUUCUCUUCGUUUUCAAGAGAAUUAUCA